rnacentral:rRNA from 1 species
UUGAAAGGGAAACGAUUGAAGUCAGUCAUGCCGGUGGGAAUCAACUUAGGGGAAACUCUAGGUGCACUUCUUCGCUUGGCAGGUCAACGUCGAUUUUGAAUGUCAUAAAAUAAUUGGGGGAAGGUAGCUCCUUCGGGAGUGUUAUAGCCCUUGAUAGAUGUGAUGUUUGGGGUCGAGGAUUGCAACGGAUACCUCUGGGGCUAGCCGCCUGAUCUCUAAUUGGUGUUGGGUUACGGAUAGCAUGCUGACCGUGAUCUAAUUACUGGUUAAAAGGUUAGAGUGUGCAUAAAUUCGUUAAGGAUGUUGACGUA